rnacentral:tRNA from 1 species
GCAGGGGUAGGAAAGCGGCCAAAUCUGCUGGCCUAAGGAGCCAGUCCCUUAGUGGGUUCGAGAGUUCGAAUCUCUCUCCCUGCA